AAGAUCUCCCCUGCGGAGAUGUUUCGGCUGCCCCUCGGGAAAACUCUCCGGCGCAAAUACUUUUUAGAUCAAUGCGUUUCGACGUGCCAUACUGGGCGUGGACGUAUUUCGCACGUCCGGAUUGAACAAUGAGAGAAGCAAAAUAUGGCACAGGGAACUGUGAAAUGGUUUAACGGCGAAAAGGGCUUCGGCUUCAUCGCCCCGGAUGGCGGCGCACCUGACGUCUUCGUCCACUACUCCGAGAUCACCGGCGGUGGUUUCCGGUCACUCGAAGAGAACCAGCGCGUCGAGUUCGAGGUCACGCAGGGAGCCAAGGGCCCCCAGGCAACAGGAGUUACCGCGCUCUAAACCGCUCUGAGACCUGAUAACGGGCUGGUACGGAUAAAUUCCCGUACCAGCCCGUUU
rnacentral:sRNA from 1 species